GGGGAUAUAGCUCAGUUGGUAGAGUGCUUGCAUGACACGCAUAAGGCCAUGGGUUUAAUCCCCAGACCCCCA
rnacentral:tRNA from 1 species